rnacentral:rRNA from 1 species
UACGGGGGGAGCAAGCGUUGUCCGGAUUUACUGGGCGUAAAGAGCGCGCAGGCGGUCGAUCAAGUCGAGUGUGAAAGCCCCCGGCUCAACUGGGGAGGGUCAUUCGAUACUGAUCGACUCGAAGGCAGGAGAGGGUAGUGGAAUUCCCGGUGUAGUGGUGAAAUGCGUAGAUAUCGGGAGGAACACCAGUGGCGAAGGCGACUACCUGGCCUGUUCUUGACGCUGAGGCGCGAAAGCUAGGGAGCAAACGGG